rnacentral:rRNA from 1 species
UGCAGUCGACGGCAGCACAGUAAGAGCUUGCUCUUAUGGGUGGCGAGUGGCGGACGGGUGAGGAAUACAUCGGAAUCUACCUUUUCGUGGGGGAUAACGUAGGGAAACUUACGCUAAUACCGCAUACGACCUUCGGGUGAAAGCAGGGGACCUUCGGGCCUUGCGCGGAUAGAUGAGCCGAUGUCGGAUUAGCUAGUUGGCGGGGUAAAGGCCCACCAAGGCGACGAUCCGUAGCUGGUCUGAGAGGAUGAUCAGCCACACUGGAACUGAGACACGGUCCAGACUCCUACGGGAGGCAGCAGUGGGGAAUAUUGGACAAUGGGCGCAAGCCUGAUCCAGCCAUACCGCGUGGGUGAAGAAGGCCUUCGGGUUGUAAAGCCCUUUUGUUGGGAAAGAAAAGCAGUCGAUUAAUACUCGGUUGUUCUGACGGUACCCAAAGAAUAAGCACCGGCUAACUUCGUGCCAGCAGCCGCGGUAAUACGAAGGGUGCAAGCGUUACUCGGAAUUACUGGGCGUAAAGCGUGCGUAGGUGGUUGUUUAAGUCUGUUGUGAAAGCCCUGGGCUCAACCUGGGAAUUGCAGUGGAUACUGGGCGACUAGAGUGUGGUAGAGGGUAGUGGAAUUCCCGGUGUAGCAGUGAAAUGCGUAGAGAUCGGGAGGAACAUCCAUGGCGAAAGGCAGCUACCUGGACCAACACUGACACUGAGGCACGAAAGCGU